ACAAAAAUGGCAAUUUCUCUUAUCUAUUGAUGGGUAACGAGCUGUCUCAACAUUUGGUGGCUUAAAACAGCCAUUUUAUUUUGCGCAUGGUUUUGUGGGACAGGAAUUCAGGAAGGGCUCAGUGGGUAAUUUCUGUUUGAUUCACUUGGGGUCCACUAGGGCAACAGGAUCCACUUCCAAGAUGGCGUCUUCACUCACAUAUCUGGAACCUCGGUGCUCCUUGUCCUUCACGCUCCAUUUGGUGCCUUAUUUUCCAGGCCCUCUUCCCUCAGGUAGCCUGGGCUUUCUCACAGCAUGGUGGCAUCAGGGUUGUAGGAUUUCUUACAAGGCACUGACUUGUAGAAAGUUUUCAGGAGCUCCGAAUGAGGAGAUUCAAGGGCUCUGACGACCAACCGUCGGCUGUCCCAGUACGUCACUUCUUCCACAUUCUAAUGGUCAGAGUAGUCACUAAGGCCAGUCCAGGUUCGCGGAAGGAAAAUUAGAUUCCACGUCUCUAUGGGAGGACUAGCCACACUAAGCCACUGCGCUGGUUUAGAACUGUCUGAAGUCCCUCCUAGAGGUCGUGUGUUUGAUUCUGCAUCUCCGUGAUUUGUGAAUCUUGCAUCAUUUAAAUUCAGCCUUACACACUGAUGCCUUUGGUGCCGUCCCAAUAUUUAGGCCAGGAGUGCAAAUUUAGAUAUUGGAGCUGCUCAGGCAGAAAAAUGGCCCUGGAAUCAGGGAAGCAGAAACCUGCAGCUGCCACGAAAGGACCGCGGAGAUGAAGACCCGGAAGCUUGCAUGUGUUGAAGCCCGGGGUGUGGGGGACUGUGGUCACGUACUCGAGGGGGCUUCAGAGACCUCUGGGAAGCCCUUUCUGCCCACUCGAAGCCUGCCCCUGUGCCUGACAAUCUUCCAUCGGGAGCGAUGUCAUAAAGAAGAAAUGGAAUUCAGUGGGAAGAGUGGUGGACUCGGGGACAAAAGAUCUGGGUUUGCGCCCUGGCUCUGACCUAACUCACCAGCAUUAUUGGAGGCACGUUAGGUAGGUGCUUGUCAGAGUCCUGCGUUCUAGGUGCUUUACAGGUGUCCACUUACUGGAUCUUCAUAACACACCUAUGAAGCAGGGAGUGUCAUCUCUAUUUCACAGCUGAAGAAUCUGAAGCUAAGUGUCAUGUUUGUGUGUGGAGUGAGAGAGGGACGCCGAGAGAGGGAGAGUGAGAGGGAGAGAGGGAGAGUGAGAAGGAGAGAGAGAGAGGGAGAGGGAGAGAGAGAGAGUGAGAGGGAGACAGAGAGAGAGGGGGUGGGGCAGUGGAUAGGGGGAGGGAGGAGGAGAGGAG
rnacentral:lncRNA from 1 species